rnacentral:rRNA from 1 species
CCAUGCAGUCGAGCGGAUGAGAAGAGCUUGCUCUUCGAUUCAGCGGCGGACGGGUGAGUAAUGCCUAGGAAUCUGCCUGGUAGUGGGGGACAACGUUUCGAAAGGAACGCUAAUACCGCAUACGUCCUACGGGAGAAAGCAGGGGACCUUCGGGCCUUGCGCUAUCAGAUGAGCCUAGGUCGGAUUAGCUAGUUGGUGAGGUAAUGGCUCACCAAGGCGACGAUCCGUAACUGGUCUGAGAGGAUGAUCAGUCACACUGGAACUGAGACACGGUCCAGACUCCUACGGGAGGCAGCAGUGGGGAAUAUUGGACAAUGGGCGAAAGCCUGAUCCAGCCAUGCCGCGUGUGUGAAGAAGGUCUUCGGAUUGUAAAGCACUUUAAGUUGGGAGGAAGGGCAGUAAGCGAAUACCUUGCUGUUUUGACGUUACCGACAGAAUAAGCACCGGCUAACUCUGUGCCAGCAGCCGCGGUAAUACAGAGGGUGCAAGCGUUAAUCGGAAUUACUGGGCGUAAAGCGCGCGUAGGUGGUUUGUUAAGUUGGAUGUGAAAGCCCCGGGCUCAACCUGGGAACUGCAUCCAAAACUGGCAAGCUAGAGUACAGUAGAGGGUGGUGGAAUUUCCUGUGUAGCGGUGAAAUGCGUAGAUAUACGAAGGAACACCAGUGGCGAAAGCGACCACCUGGACUGAUACUGACACUGAGGUGCGAAAGCGUGGGGGAGCAAAACAGGAUUAAAAUACCCUGGGUAUUCCACGCCCGUAAACGAUAUUCAACUCA